rnacentral:rRNA from 1 species
GACGAACGCUGGCGGCGUGCUUUACACAUGCAAGUCGAACGCUGAAGCACCAGCUUGCUGGUGUGGAUGAGUGGCGAACGGGUGAGUAAUACGUGAGUACCUGCCCUUGACUCUGGGAUAAGCCCGGGAAACUGGGUCUAAUACUGGAUGCUACAUGUCACCGCAUGGUGGGGUGUGGAAAGGGUUUACUGGUCUUGGAUGGGCUCACGGCCUAUCAGCUUGUUGGUGAGGUAAUGGCUCACCAAGGCGACGACGGGUAGCCGGCCUGAGAGGGUGACCGGCCACACUGGGACUGAGACACGGCCCAGACUCCUACGGGAGGCAGCAGUGGGGAAUAUUGCACAAUGGGCGAAAGCCUGAUGCAGCGACGCCGCGUGAGGGAUGACGGCCUUCGGGUUGUAAACCUCUUUCAGCAGGGAAGAAGCCACAAGUGACGGUACCUGCAGAAGAAGCGCCGGCUAACUACGUG